UAGACGACUCUCGGCAACGGAUAUCUCGGCUCUCGCAUCGAUGAAGAACGUAGCGAAAUGCGAUACUUGGUGUGAAUUGCAGAAUCCCGUGAACCAUCGAGUCUUUGAACGCAAGUUGCGCCCGAGGCCACUCGGCCGAGGGCACGCCUGCCUGGGCGUCACGC
rnacentral:rRNA from 1 species